UUCUGUCGCCGCUGUCCAUGGAGCUUCAAUUAGCGCCACUGUCAUCGCAUACCAGAGGAGAGGGGAGCUCGUGUGUGAAGAGUAGCGCCGCUGUGCCUCCGUCGUGCCUUCAUCACCAUCGAACUGUCUUGCUGUUGCUAGCCUCAUAGCCACUUCUGAGGCUGCGCCGCCGUGCCUCUGGUCAUGGGUGGAGUCCACUCCAAGCUGUCACCAUCGCAGAAUACACGCAGAGGAGAGGGAGAAAGGACCUCCGCCGCUGUCAGGAUCGUUGGUGAGUCGUGCACUGUCACCAGAGUUUAAAACAGCACCAGCCUUCUUGUUCUGGUUCUGAUUUUCCUAUUCUUGAACCUUGACACAGGUUUGAAGACGCAAUAUGAAGCUGCAAGCGAUUAGUAGGUUUUCUUUAUGGUUUUAAUUGCUUUCAUAGAGUCCCCUCGCUCUUGUCCUUUGAGGUUUUAUUUUAACAGAGGGGUAGGUGUUGUAUUUGGGUUUAUAUGACUUCUUAUGUAUGAGAAUUACUAUUAAUAAUACUUAUAUGAUUGUUAUUAUUAUUUGCAAUGCUUAUCUUUGAUACAUAUCUUGAAUGAAUAAAAA